rnacentral:rRNA from 1 species
CGUAGGGUUCAAGCGUUAUCCGGAUUUAUUGGGCGUAAAGCACAUGUGGGUGGAUUGACGCGUCUCCUUUUAAAUCUCUGGGCUCAACCCAGAACCUGGAGGAGAUACGGUCUUUCUUGUGGUCAGCAGGGGCAAAUGGAAUUCCCGGUGUAGGAGUGAAAUCCGUUGAUAUCGGGAGGAACACCAAUGGCGAAGGCAAUUUGCUAGGCUGAUUCAGACACUGAGAUGUGAAAGCGUGGGGAGCGAAUGGGAUUAGAUACCCCAGUAGUCCACGCCGUAAACGAUGCACACUAGGCAUUGGGAGUAUCGACCCUUCUUGUGCCGAAGCUAACGCGUUAAGUGUGCCGCCUGGGAAGUACGGUCGCAAGACUA